UUAGGGUUAUUAUGUCACUAUGUCUCUACAUGAGAGUAGGAAAUUUCAUCCAUCAAAUUGCAUUUCUCAUUCUUAUUUCAUAAAAUGAUUCUCAUUUCCCAAAGUGAAUAAAAUAAAAAUAAAAAUACAAAGAAGUCAUUAUGAUUGCACUUUCUUUUUUUCUUGAAAGCACCAUAAUUUAUUUAAAUAUGUAUGCCUAAUUUAUAUUUGAAAUUAAAUAAUUUAGUUGAUGCUUUACUGAUGUAGGACCAAUAGGACAAAGGAGAAUAGAAACAAAUUGUCAAAAGGAACAAAUUCUCAAUUUUAUCCAUUUGAAUCUGAAUUUCAAUAAUAUAUUUUUUUAAUGCAAUCUUACUUCCUCUGAAUUGUAUCUAGAAACUCUAUAUUCGUAGUUGCCUCCCUGUUAGUCCAUAUUGAUGAUUUUGCUGGCUCCCUGUCUUGGUUUAUAAGAUGGUUUGUUCUUGAGUGCUGCUCUAUCAAGGUUGAAGUGCUAUCUUCUAGUAAAUGGCCUAGAAAAACAACUUUAGAAUUUAGAUAUUUCGCCAGCACAAAAGAAAAUAAUUUUCCCCCUUUUUCCUAUUAAUUUAUUGUUUUCUUGGUUACUUUGCAUAAAUUUAGCAGUAAACCACAUUAUUGGUAAUACAAUUACAUUUCAGAUCUUCUCCAGAUGAUUUUUUCGAGAUUCCUCGUACAAAAUGAUAACCUUUAACCUAUCAAACUAUCUAUCUGGGGAAAUCUUAUUUUAUUGGCUAACAGAGA
rnacentral:misc_RNA from 1 species